CCUACGGGCGGCAGCAGUGGGGAAUAUUGCGCAAUGGGCGAAAGCCUGACGCAGCGACGCCGCGUGAGGGAUGAAGGUCUUCGGAUCGUAAACCUCUGUUAGCAGGGAAGAACGGUCACUGUGCUAAUCAUCAGUGAAUUGACGGUACCUGCAAAGGAAGCACCGGCUAACUCCGUGCCAGCAGCCGCGGUAAUACGGAGGGUGCGAGCGUUAAUCGGAAUUACUGGGCGUAAAGCGCUCGUAGGCGGUAUGUCAAGUCAAGGGUGAAAUCCCCGCGCUCAACGUGGGAACUGCCUUUGAAACUGGCAAACUGGAGUGUGUGAGAGGAUAGUGGAAUUCCAGGUGUAGGAGUGAAAUCCGUAGAUAUCUGGAGGAACAUCAGUGGCGAAGGCGACUAUCUGGAACAUAACUGACGCUGAGGAGCGAAAGCGUGGGUAGCAAACAGGAUUAGAUACCCCAGUAGUC
rnacentral:rRNA from 1 species